GUAGGGAAUCUUCCACAAUGGACGAAAGUCUGAUGGAGCAACGCCGCGUGAGUGAAGAAGGUUCUCGGAUCGUAAAACUCUGUUGUGAGGGAAGAACAAGUACCGGAGUAACUGCCGGUACCUUGACGGUACCUCAUUAGAAAGCCACGGCUAACUACGUGCCAGCAGCCGCGGUAAUACGUAGGUGGCAAGCGUUGUCCGGAAUCAUUGGGCGUAAAGCGCGCGCAGGCGGUCCCUUAAGUCUGAUGUGAAAGCCCACGGCUCAACCGUGGAGGGUCAUUGGAAACUGGGGGACUUGAGUGCAGAAGAGGAGAGCGGAAUUCCAAGUGUAGCGGUGAAAUGCGUAGAGAUUUGGAGGAACACCAGUGGCGAAGGCGGCUUUCUGGUCUGUAACUGACGCUGAGGCGCGAAAGCGUGGGGAGCAAACAGGAUUAGAUACCCCGGUAGUCC
rnacentral:rRNA from 1 species